GAUGAACGCUAGCUACAGGCUUAACACAUGCAAGUCGAGGGGUAACGAGAGGAAAGCUUGCUUUCCUUGUCGACGACCGGCGCACGGGUGAGUAACGCGUAUCCAACCUGCCCCCAACUAGGGAAUAACCUUGCGAAAGUAAGACUAAUACCCUAUAAUUUCCUCAGAUGUCAUCUGACGAGGAAUAAAGAUUUAUCGGUUGUGGAUGGGGAUUCGUCUGAUUCGCUUGUUGGCGGGGUAACGGCCCACCAAGGAAACGACCAGUAGGGGUUCUGAGGGGAAGGUCCCCCACAUUGGAACUGAGACACGGUCCAAACUCCUACGGGAGGCAGCAGUGAGGAAUAUUGGUCAAUGGGCGGAAGCCUGAACCAGCCAAGUAGCGUGCAGGAUGACGGCCCUAUGGGUUGUAAACUGCUUUUAUACAGGAAUAAAGUUAGCCACGUGUGGUUAUUUGUAGGUACUGUAUGAAUAAGGACCGGCUAAUUCCGUGCCAGCAGCCGCCGUAA
rnacentral:rRNA from 1 species